rnacentral:tmRNA from 1 species
GGGGGUGUUUUGGUUUCGCCUGUGUAGUGUAUUGUUUCAGUAGCGGGUCGAGGACACCUUUCACUCGUAAAACACUGGUAAUUAAAAUUAAAUGCAAACAAUAAUAACUACGCUUUAGCUGCUUAAGAAAGCUAAACGCUUAACUGUCCUCCUGUCUGCGGAGACAGUUAGGUGUCAUAAUCUGCAGACUACCGUUUAUCCGAUGACUGUAGGAUAGAUGGGAAUAAUACAGUCUCGUAGUUUGGAACCCUGUCUGUUGGGGGCCAGGCUAUUAAAAUAAAAAACAGACUACACUCGUAGAAGCUGGAACAUGAGCUAUGCAGUACACGGGUUCGAAUCCCGUCACCUCCACCA